rnacentral:lncRNA from 1 species
AAUAAUAAGAAUUUGUGUUUUAAAAAAUUAAUAAUUUAAAUUAAUAAGUAAAAACAUAUUAAAGAUUGGAUUAAUAUAAAACAUAUAAUAUUAACAUUGAAAACAUUAAAUAAUUACAAAGUUACUAAAAGUUGAAAAAGAAAAAACAUACAAUUAAGACAUUAAAAAUAUAAAACAUAAAACAUACAAAGAUCAAAAAUAAAAACAAACAUUUUAUUCAAUUCAUAGAAAUUUUAAAAUUAAUCAUCAUUAUCUAGAAGAUGUCCAAAGUUAGUCCAAAUAUGCUCA